ACUCAAAUGAAUUGACGGGGGCCCGCACAAGCGGUGGAGCAUGUGGUUCAAUUCGAUGCAACGCGAAGAACCUUACCCGGGUUUGAACUGUGUCUGCAACAUUCAGAGAUGAAUGCCCCUAGCAAUAGGCAGAUACAGAGGUGCUGCAUGGCUGUCGUCAGCUCGUGUCGUGAGAUGUUGGGUUAAGUCCCGCAACGAGCGCAACCCUUGCUUUUAGUUGCUCAUCCGUACGGAUAGCACUCUAAAUAGGACUGCCGGUGAUAAACCGGAGGAAGGUGGGGAUGACGUCAAGUCAUCAUGGCCUUUAUGCCCGGGGCUACACACGUGCUACAAUGGCUGGUACAAAGGGUUGCCAAACCGUGAGGUGGAGCCAAUCCCAACAAAGCCAGCCUCAGUUCGGAUUGUAGUCUGCAACUCGACUACAUGAAGGUGGAAUCGCUAGUAAUCGCGGAUCAGCAUGCCGCGGUGAAUACGUUUCCGGGCCUUGUACACACCGCCCGU
rnacentral:rRNA from 1 species